CGGAGUGAUCCUCAGUGGUCUGGGGUGCAGGCUUCAAACCUGUAGCUGUCUAGCGACAGUGUUUCAAUUCCACCUUUUGGGC
rnacentral:tRNA from 1 species